rnacentral:miRNA from 1 species
ACAUAUAUAUAUAUAUGUAUGUAUGUGUGUGUGUGUGUGUGUGUGUGUGUGUGUGUGUACACUGCCCUCACAAAUCUCCACAACUGUUGAAAAUAAA